UAUUAGGUAAAAUCUGCUCAAUGAAUUAAAUAGCCGCAGAAAUUUUACUGUGCUAAGGUAGCAUAAUCAUUAGUCUUUUAAUUAAAGACCAGUAUGAAAGAUUUAACACUUUAAUUACUUUCUCACUUUCCUAUAAAAUUUGUAUCAAAUAUAAAAUAUAUUUAUAUAUAAAUUAGACGACAAGACCCUAUCGAACUUUACUUUAGUUUAGCUGGGGUAGCAAAUUAAAAAUAAUCUUAAUCUUUAAUUUUUCCCAAAAUGAACCAACACAAUUGAUUAUAUGAUUAAGUUACCGUAGGGAUAACAGCGUAAUAUUUUUCUAAGCUCUUAUCUAAAAAAAAGCUUACGACCUCGAUGUUGAAUUAUUUUCCCGUAAAACGCAAGAGUUUCAUAGGGUGGUCUGUUCGACCAUAAAAUUUUUACA
rnacentral:rRNA from 1 species